rfam:Camelus ferus unplaced genomic scaffold scaffold56579, whole genome shotgun sequence.
GGGGGUAUAGCUCAAGGGUAGAGUACAUGCCUGGUGUGCAUGAGUUCCUGGGUUCAAUCCCUAGUGCCUCCC